GAUGAACGCUAGCUACAGGCUUAACACAUGCAAGUCGAGGGGAAACGACAUCGAAAGCUUGCUUUUGAUGGGCGUCGACCGGCGCACGGGUGAGUAACGCGUAUCCAACCUGCCCAUCACUUGGGAAUAACCUUGCGAAAGUAAGACUAAUACCCAAUGACAUCCCACGAAGACAUCUGAAUGGGAUUAAAGAUUUAUCGGUGAUGGAUGGGGGUGCGUCUGAUUAGCUUGUUGGCGGGGUAACGGCCCACCAAGGCAACGAUCAGUAGGGGUUCUGAGAGGAAGGUCCCCCACAUUGGAACUGAGACACGGUCCAAACUCCUACGGGAGGCAGCAGUGAGGAAUAUUGGUCAAUGGGCGAGAGCCUGAACCAGCCAAGUAGCGUGCAGGAUGACGGCCCUAUGGGUUGUAAACUGCUUUUAUAAGGGAAUAAAGUGGGUCUCGUGAGACUUUUUGCAUGUACCUUAUGAAUAAGGACCGGCUAAUUCCGUG
rnacentral:rRNA from 1 species